UACGAAGGGGGCAAGCGUUGUUCGGAAUGACUGGGCGUAAAGGGCGCGUAGGCGGUUCGUUGCGUCAGAUGUGAAAGCCCCGGGCUCAACCUGGGAACUGCAUUUGAUACGGGCGGGCUUGAAUCCAAGAGAGGGUGGUGGAAUUCCCAGUGUAGAGGUGAAAUUCGUAGAUAUUGGGAAGAACACCAGUGGCGAAGGCGGCCACCUGGCUUGGUAUUGACGCUGAGGCGGCGAAAGCGUGGGGAGCAAACAGG
rnacentral:rRNA from 1 species